rnacentral:rRNA from 1 species
AGAGUUUGAUCAUGGCUCAGGAUGAACGCUAGCGGCAGGCUUAACACAUGCAAGUCGAGGGGCAGCAGGAGGUAGCAAUACCUUGCUGGCGACCGGCGCACGGGUGCGUAACGCGUAUGCAACCUGCCCCUGACAGGGGGAUAACCCGGGGAAACCCGGACUAAUACCCCGUAACGCCGCGGAGCCGCAUGGUUCUGCGGCCAAAGAUUUAUCGGUCAGGGAUGGGCAUGCGUGGCAUUAGGUAGUUGGCGGGGCAACGGCCCACCAAGCCGUCGAUGCCUAGGGGAGCUGAGAGGCUUAUCCCCCACACUGGUACUGAGACACGGACCAGACUCCUACGGGAGGCAGCAGUGAGGAAUAUUGGUCAAUGGACGGAAGUCUGAACCAGCCAUGCCGCGUGAAGGAAGACGGCCCUAUGGGUUGUAAACUUCUUUUCCCGGGGAGCAAUAAGGUCCGUGCGCGGGCCGAUGAGAGUACCCGGGGAAUAAGCAUCGGCUAACUCCGUGCCAGCAGCCGCGGUAAUACGGAGGAUGCAAGCGUUAUCCGGAUUUAUUGGGUUUAAAGGGUGCGUAGGCGGAUCCUUAAGUCAGCGGUGAAAUAUGCCGGCUCAACCGGCAGGCUGCCGUUGAUACUGGGGGACUUGAGUACGAGCGGCGCCGGCGGAAUGUGCAGUGUAGCGGUGAAAUGCUUAGAUAUUGCACAGAACACCGAUCGCGAAGGCAGCUGGCGAGGACGAUACUGACGCUGAGGCACGAAAGUGCGGGGAUCAAACAGGAUUAGAUACCCUGGUAGUCCGCACAGUAAACGAUGAUGACUUGUUGUCGGCGACAGACAGCCGGUGACAAAGCGAAAGCGAUAAGUCAUCCACCUGGGGAGUACGAUCGCAAGGUUGAAACUCAAAGGAAUUGACGGGGGCCCGCACAAGCGGAGGAGCAUGUGGUUUAAUUCGAUGAUACGCGAGGAACCUUACCCGGACUCAAAUGCAGGAGGAAUUGCCCGGAGACGGGCAAGCCCCUCGGGGCCGCCUGCAAGGUGCUGCAUGGUUGUCGUCAGCUCGUGCCGUGAGGUGUCAGGUUAAGUCCUAUAACGAGCGCAACCCCUGCGUCCAGUUGCCAGCGCGUAGUGGCGGGGACUCUGGACGGACUGCCGGCGCAAGCCGAGAGGAAGGCGGGGAUGACGUCAAAUCAGCACGGCCCUUACGUCCGGGGCGACACACGUGCUACAAUGGCCGGUACAGAGGGCAGCCACCCCGCGAGGGGGAGCAAAUCUCGAAAGCCGGUCUCAGUUCGGAUCGGAGUCUGCAACUCGACCCCGUGAAGCUGGAUUCGCUAGUAAUCGCGCAUCAGCCAUGGCGCGGUGAAUACGUUCCCGGGCCUUGUACACACCGCCCGUCAAGCCAUGAAAGUCCGUGGUACCUGAAGUCCGUGACCGCGAGGAGCGGCCUAGGGUAAAACGGGUGAUUGGGGCUAAGUCGUAACAAGGUAAC